UACGUAGGGGGCAAGCGUUGUCCGGAAUCAUUGGGCGUAAAGAGCGCGUAGGUGGCUUUAUAAGUCCGUUGUGAAAGUCAAAGGCUCAACCUUUGAAAGCCGAUGGAUACUGUGAAGCUAGAGUACGGAAGAGGCGAGUGGAAUUCCUGGUGUAGCGGUGGAAUGCGCAGAUAUCAGGAGGAACACCAAUAGCGAAGGCAGCUCGCUGGGACGUUACUGACACUGAGGCGCGAAAGCGUGGGGAGCGAACAGG
rnacentral:rRNA from 1 species